rnacentral:rRNA from 1 species
GAUGAACGCUGGCGGCGUGCCUAAUACAUGCAAGUCGAGCGAACAGACGAGGAGCUUGCUCCUCUGACGUUAGCGGCGGACGGGUGAGUAACACGUGGAUAACCUACCUAUAAGACUGGGAUAACUUCGGGAAACCGGAGCUAAUACCGGAUAAUAUAUUGAACCGCAUGGUUCAAUAGUGAAAGACGGUUUUGCUGUCACUUAUAGCUGGAUCCGCGCCGCAUUAGCUAGUUGGUAAGGUAACGGCUUUCCAAGGCAACGAUGCGUAGCCGACCUGAGAGGGUGAUCAGCCACACUGGAACUGAGACACGGUCCAGACUCCUACGGGAGGCAGCAGUAGGGAAUCUUCCGCAAUGGGCGAAAGCCUGACGGAGCAACGCCGCGUGAGUGAUGAAGGUCUUCGGAUCGUAAAACUCUGUUAUUAGGGAAGAACAAAUGUGUAAGUAACUAUGCACGUCUUGACGGUACCUAAUCAGAAAGCCACGGCUAACUACGUG